rnacentral:misc_RNA from 1 species
UAGUGUUCGUUGCCCUUCGGGGUAGCAACCCUCACCCUUGUGUAUUAUAUCAUUUGUUGCUUUGGCAGGCCGCCUUUGGGGGCGCCGGCUUCGGCUGGACCGCGCCUGCCAGAGACCCUUAAACUCUGAAUGUUAGUGUCGUCCGAGUACUAUCUAAUAGUUA